GUUUGAUCCCAAGCAGUUUUCAUUGCCUUCUAUAAUUCAGAAUAUUUGACUGUGUUCAAUGAUAUCUAAUAGUUCUGUAUGCAUUUUAAUAUGUCUUGAUAAAGUUAGGUAGAAAUUAGCAUUUAAAAGAGUCUUGGAAAUCAGAUUGUAGUUCUCACUCCUCUAUGUUAACCACCUUAGGUCAUUAAAUAUCUGUCUAGUUUUAAAUAAUUCUGGAAAAGACUUCACAA
rnacentral:lncRNA from 1 species